UACGGAGGAUGCAAGCGUUAUCCGGAAUGAUUGGGCGUAAAGCGUCCGCAGGUGGCUGUGUAAGUCUGCUGUCAAAGAGCGAAGCUCAACUUCGUAAAGGCAGUGGAAACUACACGGCUAGAGUGCGUUCGGGGCAGAGGGAAUUCCUGGUGUAGCGGUGAAAUGCGUAGAGAUCAGGAAGAACACCGGUGGCGAAGGCGCUCUGCUAGGCCGUAACUGACACUGAGGGACGAAAGCUAGGGGAGCGAAUGGG
rnacentral:rRNA from 1 species